GCGUCUCCGCCGACGCGCUCACCUUCGGCCUUCUGGGGAGACUAGCUGCCGCAGAACGAGACCCUUCGGCGACGGAAGGGCUGCCAGUGGAAAGACCAUGUGAGGACACAGUGAGAAGAGGCCAUCUACAAGCCAAGGAGAGAGCUCUCACCAGAAACCAACCCUGCUGGCAUCUUGAUCUUGGACUUCCAGCCUCCAGAACAGACUUCCCUGGUGGCGCAGUGGUCAAGAAUCUGCCUGCCAACGCAGGGGACACGGGUUCAAGCCCUUGUCUGGGAAGAUCCCACAUGCCGUGGAGCAACUAAGCCCAUAUGCCACAACUACUGAGCCUGUGAGCCACAACUACUGAGCCCGCGUGCCACAACUGCUGAAGCCUGCACACCUAGAGCUGGUGCUCCACAACAAGAGAAGCCACCGCAAUGAGAAGCCUGUGCACCACCACAAAGAAUAGCCCCUGCUCGCCGCAAAUAGAGAAAGCCUGCGCGCAGCAGCGAAGACCCAACACAGCCAAAAAAAAAAAAAAAAUGCAAAUAAGUUUGUUGAAUUCUUUAGAAAAAAUUUGCUGGCAUUUUGAUAGGAAUUGCAUUGAAUUUAUAGAUUAAUUUGGAGAAAGUUGACUGCCUCACAAUGUUAAAUUUUCUCCUCCACAAACAUGGUAUGUAUCCAUU